UUGGCCCUUUGGCAUUUAACAAUUGUCAAUUGCAUUAAGAAAUAGAGAGACCUAAUUUUAGCUACCCAAACGUACGGUGAUAUCGCUAGAUCAUGCAAUUUCCUUAGUUUUUACACCAAGUGUUCUUGUGUUUGAAUAGUCUAAGCAAUUACGGACUCAAAACUAUCUAAACUAAUAAAUUAUUAUUUUGCAAUCAAGAAUCAAUGUAGGUCUAAACAACAAAGCAACAAUUGAAUUAAGCAUGAAACUGCAUAAAUAC
rnacentral:lncRNA from 1 species